rnacentral:lncRNA from 1 species
AAUUGUUGUUUUCAACAGACUACAGCUUGACAUUUGGUACAUAAGCAGGUAGCCGUGUUUGACGAUGAGUUUUGUAAUCACAUUUAAUUUCAUUUUAUCUGUGAAUUUAUACCCCCUUAGAACAAAUUCAUUUCUCAAUGGGACUAGCAGUAAGUGGGAGGUACACUGAGUGACCUGGAGUUUGUGUAUCUGUUGCAACAGUGAUAAAGACAUUGCCCCCUCCCCAGGAUCCAAGGAUCUCCUUCUACAGUGCCCAUACUCUCUUCAUUUCUAUAUUGCAUCUGAUCAUUUUGCAGCGAUACAAUAAUAGUCAUUACUGACUAUUACACGAGUGAUCGUUUUUAGCCAUCUGAGUUACAUGACAUGGUGGCGAAAAUGUCAAUGGCUGCGUACCAAGAGCUCUUGUUGUUGGAGUCAUGCUGUAUUCUGGAAAAAUCUUGUGCAGAAAAUCCAGCGCGGUGUCGUUACCAGCUUGUGAUACAGACACAGCCGUCUGCUUGGAAAUCUGAAUUAAUCAGAUAUAAGUUAGAGAAAGCUUCCGAAAUCUAAACAGAUGAAGACCAAUUGAUAAAUCAACCCAGUGAUUCACCAUACUUUCAAGACUCUGGUCCUGUGAACACUUUCUACUUAUGCUCAGAUCUAAGAUGAAGAGUCAUUCCACUGUUUUGGGAAACUAAAGUACAGUUAAGAACAUGUAUAGCUGAAAGAUUAGGGCCAAGCUGAGAAGUUGAUAGCCUUCGUUAAUCCUGCUACAAAUGUCUACAGUAGAAGUCGUUAUUGCUAUCUUUAUCUAAAGCUCAUGUUGUUUGCCUUUUUAUUUUUUCAAGGAGUUAAAUUAGACUUACAGUAAUCAAGUGAGGAAAAAAUACCACUCAGUAUUCUGUGUUAGGUUCAUAGUUUUACAAGAAACAUUCUGAUUAUGACAUAAAUAUAUCAGUUGGGUGGAAGACUGAAACUGUUUUCAUAAUUAUAGCCUAUCCUAUCCCAUCUGACUACUGUCUAGCAGGUUUGUAUUUUAAAAUCUUUUAUAUGCAUAAUUUUGGAAAGGAAUAUCCAUAUUGGGAUGGAGUUCCACACAUUGCAAGUUCUGUUUCAGUGGAGAUACAGUGAUGCCUAACUAAGCCUGCAUGUACGCCUUUGCAGGAUUGGGAUGGGGUAGUCUAAACAAAUUUGUCUACUAUUUUGAUUUUUGCUGUCUAGUUUUGCGUGUGUGUGUGUGUGUGUGUGUGUGUGUGACCUGUAACCUGCUCAGAGCAGUUCUGCUGGAGACUUGAGUCCACACUCUUAAGCGCGUGCAGAGGUCAUGCUCGUAUCACUGCCCACAGAGCAGACAGGGCACCAGGCUUGCUUACAUCUUUAGUUGUUCAGUGAGGGUAAUAUAACUGACAGUGGCAUCAAGUAUGGACAGAAAUCUUUGCAGAUCAGGGCCUGUGACUUUAAUUUGACGUUGCUACUUGGACACCAGAGAGAAAAUCCUGUAAUUAAAAAGUCUGGUUUUGGAGUUAGUUUAUGUACAAAACUUGAUUUUGCAAAAUUUAAUAACUUUGUUAUUAACAAUUUUCAGACACAGAAGUAUUUUUACCAAUAUUUAUCCCUUUUAAUACUGCUCAAUGUCAUCCCUAAGUGUAGGCAACAAAUGAUGCUGCCUGAAAAGAAAUGUGGAAUUACACAGAUAUGAAAAUCAGGUUAUGAAUAUAAGGAGGGCUGUGUGCGUGCGUGGUGGGGGGUUCUCCAAAAAUAAAAGUGGUGGAAACAAAGUGAAAUGGAUUUAG